CAGUCGCCGCGGGAAUACGAAGGGGGCUAGCGUUGCUCGGAAUUACUGGGCGUAAAGGGAGCGUAGGCGGACAUUUAAGUCAGGGGUGAAAUCCCAGAGCUCAACUCUGGAACUGCCUUUGAUACUGGGUGUCUUGAGUGUGAUAGAGGUAUGUGGAACUCCGAGUGUAGAGGUGAAAUUCGUAGAUAUUCGGAAGAACACCAGUGGCGAAGGCGACAUACUGGAUCAUUACUGACGCUGAGGUGCGAAAGCGUGGGGAGCAAACAGGAUUAGAUACCCCAGUAGUCCCUGUCUCUUAUAA
rnacentral:rRNA from 1 species